GUAGGCAGUUUCGAAGCGUUUGUCCUUUUAGCGGCGCCGCAGCGAACGGAGCCACCACCUCGGGGACCCAUUCCUGUCCCCAAGGGACUCGAAGGGGACAGCUAAGACAAUGGGUACCCUAGCGUCCUGGGACUUUGCCUGUGCUCGAGCUCGCCUCUAGGGCCGCUGCCUCUCGGAGGUGCGGAGCGAUGCCCCCUACUGGGAAGCUUGCGCCUGGAGCAGGGCGCAGGUGGAGAAUGGCAAGAAGCGCUCUUGCAUUGUGGGCUUCCAGAGGUCCAGCUCUGCAUUUGGAGGAGAGAGAAGGGAGCAGCCACCGCCUGCCAAGACUGCGAGUGAUUCAUUCAACAUGGCAGUUCCCAUACUCAUCGCACAAGGCGUGGACGACACAAAGAGAUGGCUUGCCUGCAAGAGACCCAGCUGGUCCAGAGUCGGAGGCACAUUUCAUUUCUCUGGCCAGCUGGAGAGGCGGCCGGAGCAGACGAGGAGAUCGCCUCUAAUGUUCUAAAUGUCAAUAUGGUCCCUACUGGCUGACUCGCCAAGAUUUGAUCAGCAAAUUGGCCUGCGUGAUGUGUUCCCUGCAAUGCACGGUGUGUGUUUAAAUCUUUCAACAGUGUCAUGAAAGAAGCUGAAGAACAGUAAACAAUUCUCAGUGGAA
rnacentral:lncRNA from 1 species